rnacentral:rRNA from 1 species
UACGUAGGGUGCGAGCGUUGCCCGGAUUUAUUGGGCGUAAAGGGCGCGCAGGCGGCUACGCACGUCCGUUGUGAAAUCGCUCGGCUCAACUGGGCGGGGUCAGCGGAUACGGCGUAGCUGGAGCAAGCUAGGGGGCAAUGGAAUUCCCGGUGUAGUGGUGGAAUGCGUAGAUAUCUGGAGGAACACCGGUGGCGAAGGCGGCGUUCUGGACUGCAACUGACACUGAGGAACGAAAGCCAGGGGAGCAAACGGG